rnacentral:SRP_RNA from 1 species
GCCGGGCGUGGUGGUGCGUGCCUGUAAUUCCAGCUGCUCAGGAGGCUGAGGCAGGAGAAUUGCUUGAACCCAGGUGAUGGAGGUUGCAGUGAGCUGAGAUCGCACCACUGCACUCCAGCCUGGGUGACAGAGCAAGACUCUGUCUCAA